rnacentral:rRNA from 1 species
UACGUAGGCGGAAAAUUAAGUCAGUAGUGAAAUCCUGCAGCUUAACUGUAGAACUGUUAUUGAUACUGGUUUUCUUGAAUUUAGUUGAGGUAGGCGGAAUGUGUAAUGUAGCGGUGAAAUGCUUAGAUAUUACACAGAACACCGAUUGCGAAGGCAGCUUACUAAGCUAUGAUUGACGCUGAGGUACGAAAGCGUGGGGAGCGAACAGGAUUAGAUACCCGAGUAGUCC